UCAUCACCUUCAUGAAGAAAAGAGAUGCGUGCAAGCCAGGCUUUGAAGCUGUGGGCGGAUUCUGCUACUUUUUCUCUACCGAUGUAGUCAACUUUGCUACGGCUAAAAGCUCGUGCCCAUUGGGCAGCGUACUCGCCUAUCCAUCCUCUGCUGCCCAAAUGGCUGAUCUCGUGGCUUACCUCAACAGCAACAAGUCUGGAAUAACCGGCUGGUGGGUCGAUUUGAC